AGAGACAGCAGCAGCCGCGGUAAUACAGAGGGUGCGAGCGUUAAUCGGAUUUACUGGGCGUAAAGCGUGCGUAGGCGGCUUCUUAAGUCGGAUGUGAAAUCCCUGAGCUUAACUUAGGAAUUGCAUUCGAUACUGGGAAGCUAGAGUUUGGGAGAGGAUGGUAGAAUUCCAGGUGUAGCGGUGAAAUGCGUAGAGAUCUGGAGGAAUACCGAUGGCGAAGGCAGCCAUCUGGCCUAAUACUGACGCUGAGGUACGAAAGCAUGGGGAGCAAACAGGAUUAGAUACCCGCGUAGUCCCUGUCUCUUAUAA
rnacentral:rRNA from 1 species